AACUGAUCUGCCCGUGCAGAAGCGGGCAUGACUGCACAAGACGAGAAGACCCUAUGGAGCUUUAGACGCCCACCAACCAUGAAAAGCAACCCAGCCACCGGGUCUCCAAACAGCAUGGCCCUGGCACAAACGUCUUCGGUUGGGGCGACCACGGGGGACAGAGAAGCCCCCAGGAGGAUUGGAGGCCUACUCCAGAACCGAGAGCCAUAGCUCUAAGUCACAAAACUUUUGACCUGAAAUGAUCCGGCUUAAUGCCGACCAACGGACCAAGUUACCCUAGGGAUAACAGCGCAAUCCCUUCCCAGAGUCCAUAUCGACGAGGGGGUUUACGACCUCGAUGUUGGAUCAGGACAUCCUAAUGGUGCAGCCGCUAUUAAGGG
rnacentral:rRNA from 1 species